rnacentral:rRNA from 1 species
AUUGAACGCUGGCGGCAUGCCUUACACAUGCAAGUCGAACGGUAACGGGCCUUCGGGUGCCGACGAGUAGCGCACGGGUGAGUAAUACAUCGGAACGUGCCCGAUCGUGGGGGAUAACGAGGCGAAAGCUUUGCUAAUACCGCAUACGAUCUACGGAUGAAAGCAGGGGACCGCAAGGCCUUGCGCGGACGGAGCGGCCGAUGGCAGAUUAGGUAGUUGGUGGGAUAAAAGCUUACCAAGCCGACGAUCUGUAGCUGGUCUGAGAGGAUGAUCAGCCACACUGGGACUGAGACACGGCCCAGACUCCUACGGGAGGCAGCAGUGGGGAAUUUUGGACAAUGGGCGCAAGCCUGAUCCAGCCAUGCCGCGUGCAGGAUGAAGGCCUUCGGGUUGUAAACUGCUUUUGUACGGGACGAAAAGCCUUCUUUUAAUACAGGAGGGUCAUGACGGUACCGUAAGAAUAAGCACCGGCUAACUACGUG